GAGUACACAUUUAAAAAUGACCUUAUUACUUUAAUAUUUUAAGUGACAUCUAACUGUCAGAUAUUUGUUACAUUAUAUUAUUUAUUUAAAUAAAAUUUCCUGGCUUGACAAUCUCCUCUAAGGCAAUAAUUUAUGUAGCAUGAUUAGGUCCUCCCAUCCCCCAUUCCCAACAAACCUAAAAAUCAAAAAUGCUUUCAGUAAAGUCACAGGCACAAUUAAAGUAAAAAAGAUGUGUCUGUGUUAAAUCCUGUGUUGGUAAAAUCCUUGUAGAAUCCCUGAGAUCUCAUUACGUACCCACUGCUUCCUGGAUGUGUUGAAUUAAGUUGUGGUAUGUGGUUUGUUUGGGUUUGUUCAGUGUUCUUCAUUUUUAAAUUUCUCUCUCUCUGUCUCUGUCUCUUUCUUUCUGGCUUUUUCCCCCGAGGCAGGUUGUUGUUGGUGUGUGUGUGUGUGUGUGUGUGUGUGUGUGCGCGCACGUGCGCGUGCGCGUGCAAUUUUGGCUGUCCUGGCUCAGUAGACCAGGCUGGCCUCAAACUCAGAGACAAUCUGUCUCUGCCUGGCAAGCUGGCAUUACACUACCACUGCCCAGCUGUUUGUGUUCUGCUGCCGUCACUGUUGCUUUCUCCCCACACAGAUGGAAAAGAACACCAUACCUGAAAUACACACUUGAUAUUCAUGAAAAAUACAAUUUUAGUGGUUGGUGAGAUGGCUCAUUGGUUAAGAGAAUACUAGCUGCUCUCUUCCAGAGGCCCUGAGUUCAACUCCCAUCAACCAUGUGGUGGUGGCUCACAACCAUCUAUUAUGGGAUCUGAUGCCCUCUUCUGGCAUGCAGGUGUGCAUGCAGAUAGAGUGCUCAUAUACAUAAAUAAAUAAAACAAACAAAAAAAGAAAUACUUCCCCUUAUGUACUUUAUUGUAAUGGUUGUGUGUUAAAUUUAUGGGAAUAAGUCCUUUUGAUUUUAGGCUAACCAAAUGGGGUAUAAUAUCCUUUCUGUUUGAAAGAUUUUGACAAGUCAAAUUAAUAGUUCCAUUUUUAUGUCCAUGGAGGUAUCUUCGAGUCUUUUUGUUUUUUGAAGACAGAUGAAAUUUGUAAUUAAGAUUUUAGCAAAAAUAUUAGUAGCUAGAUCUUUAGAAACUGUUGAUAAGGUCCAGGGUCUCUCUCCUCACCAAUAUUGUCUAGGCUGACCUUAAACCCUGGGCCCAACUCAUCAAUUCUCAGGGUUUGAGAGUUUGCUUUUAAAAUGUAUUCUAUACUCUCUAGCUCUGGGGGCUACUCAGUCUCAUUCUUGAUUGAACACUGGAAUUACUUGGAAGAUUGGAAAACCACAGAUGCUUGAGUUUUGCUUUUCUUGAGGGAUUGUUAUUUAAUUGGUCUAAUAUUAUGGUAUCUAAACAUUUACAGAGUUUAUAGGUAAUACCAAUGUGAAUCAGAGGCUGAGAAUCCAGUUUAUAAGCCCGUUUAAGGGGGAAAUACUUGAUUUCAGAGGAUAUAUUAUCACCUUUAGAAUUUACAAAAGUUUUAUUUUUGAGAUAAAGUGUCACAUGCUGUUACAUAAGAAAUUAUAAGUCCAUUUUUGUGAUGUCAUCAUUUUAAGAAUGUUACAUAAAUGGAAUCCUUUAGUAUAGUGGUUUUCCAGCUGUAGGUCCUACCUCCUUUGAGGUCAAACGACCUUUUCACAGGGGUUGCAUAUCAUAUAACCUGGAUACCAGAUAUUUACAUUAGGAUUUAUAACUGUAGUAAAGUUAUAGUUAUGAAGUAGCAAUGGGAUAAUUUUAUUGUUGUGGUCACCACAAUAUGAGGAACUAUAUUAUAGGGCACUUCACAUUCAAACCACAACAGUAACAUCUCUAAUUCAUAAAAUUUAUUGGGCUCUGCUGCUUCUACCUCUACUGGAAUAUUGAAAUGGAAUUAUACAAUUUUGAAAUUAUAUGCAAUUGUAUACAAAUCAAAAUGGAAAUAUGCAAUUUUCUUUGUUUUUUUUUAGACAGGGUUUCUCUGUUCUAGGUACUAGAAUAUAGUGGUGAAUAAGAUAGACAUGAUUCCUUCUCUCUCUCUCUCUCUCUUUCCUUUAUGGUUUUAGAACUUUAUUGGAGAGAAGGUAGAAAGAGAGAGAGACUGGUCAUGGCCAUGUGUGGGGGGGGGGGGAGGGAAAGAGGAAAGAGAGAAGGAGGGCUAGAGAGUAAGAAAGAUGAGGGCUUAAAGAGCAUGAUUCCUUCUCUUACUGACCUUAACAUUCUAGUGGAAGGGAGGCAGGAGAGCCCAAUACAUACAAUGUAUUAGUGAGGUACUAUUGUUGUUUGAAUAUGAAGGGCCCUCCAUAGGCUCAUGUAUUUGGACACUUGGGUCCCCAGCUGGUGGUGCUAUUUGGGAAGUUAUGGAACCUGUAGAGAGUUGAACUUUAAUGAAGGAAAUAUGUCAUUAAGGGCAGGCCUUGAGAGUUUAUAAAGCCUGUCCUCAUUUUCUGCAUUUUCUCAGCUUCUAGACAGCUGAUACCAUGGGCUGGACUCAAACUCUUGAUGCCAUGCCUUCCUUGCUGUGAUGGACUGUAUCCCCUUUGGAACUGUAACCCAAAUAAACCCUUUCUCCAAUAAGUUGCUUUUGUCACACUAUUUUAUCACACUAGCAAGCAAGUAAUUAAUAUAGUUACUGUGCUUGUGGCAAAAGUUACCAAAAGAUAAGGAUGUAGAAAAACAAAAUUUAAGUGCUUUCUGGAAAUGGAAUGGAAUUUUGUGUUCAAUAUUGAUAAUGCUGACUAGGAGAAGAACAAAUGGUAGUGAAAAAGUAGGAUGUAAUUUGUUAGAAAAUGAGCUUAGUGAUACUUGCUUUGAUCUCUUCAUAAAGUUACAUCCUGUGGGGUUCCUGUUACUCCUCCACCAAUUCAUUGACUUGAUAAUAUUAAAGAAAAUGAAGGGUUCUUUAGGUUUUAAUGUGGCUUGAAAAAAUGUGUGUGUGUGUGUGUACACACACGUACGUACCUACUUACAUGUGGAGGUCAAGUGUCUUCAUCACUUUCCUUAUUUUUAGAGACUAUUUCUCACUGAAUCUGGGACUUAUUUUUUCAGCUGAACUGGCUGCCAGUGAGCUUCAGGUAUUCAUUUGCCUUUCCUCCUCCAUAGUUGUGUGUAUUAUAGAAAUGUGCUAACACUCUUGUUUUUUAUGUGAAUGUUGAAUUUAGGUCCUCAAGCUUGUGUGGCAGGCACUUUUACUGACUAACUUACCUUCCCAGCCUUCAGUUAAUAUUUAACACUAAAGUGGUUUUAUUUAGAAAGCAUCACAUGUAGUCCCAGCACUUGUAAAAUUGAGACAGGGAUUGAAGUUUCAAAGCUAGCUUGAGAUCAGUUGGGGCUACGUAAUGAGAACAGACUGACUUACCUGGUAUCUUAUCUCAAAAACUAAAAAACAGGCUGGAGGGAGUCAUGGUUGAUUUGCUGCUCUUAUAGAGAGCCUGGGUUUGUUCCCAGAACUCAAAUGAUGACUCACAACCAUCCAUAACUCUAAUUCCAGGGGAUCUGGCACCUUCUUCUGGUCACAGGCACCAGGCAUACACAUGGUACACAUACAUACAUGCAGGCAAAAUACCCCAAUACAUAAAUAGAAACAGCCGGGCGUGGUGGCGCACGCCUUUAGUCCCAGCACUCGGGAGGCAGAGGCAGGCGGAUUUCUGAGUUCCGAGGCCAGCCUGGUGUACAAAGUGAGCUCCAGGACAGCCAGGGCUAUACAGAGAAACCAUGUUUCGAAAAA
rnacentral:lncRNA from 1 species